rnacentral:rRNA from 1 species
AUGAUGUUUAAAUUUCUACCACAAAACGUCAGUUGUACCAAGAAGACACAUCAUACACAUGCACGCAAUGAGUCAUCUCAUGUAUUCUACAAAUCCAAAAUCAUGGAGAACUAUCAGAAGCAAAUUUCAGGGAGAAAACAUCAGCAACCAACUGCCCGUGAACAUCACAUUAUCACUGUUGGCUACAUCAAAAAGGGUGAAUGCCACCUCCAAGCCAUUUUCAAGAACGAGGACCCCAGCAAUUUUCAUGACACAUGGCUCAUUACUACAUAUACUAUACGAAGUGAUUGCAUUGAAUAUAAUUUCUGUACCCUAUGUACUUCUUAA